CACACCAGGAAGCAUGUGGGAUCUUAGUUCCCCAACAAGGGAUCUAAUUCACGCCCUCUGUCGUGGAAGCUCGGAGUCUUAACCACUGGAUCACAGGUUGUGCUUUCUCUGGUGCUGCAGAUGGUAAGGAAUCUGCCUGCAAUGUGAGAGACCUGGAUUCGGUUCCUGGGUCAGGAAGAUCCCCUGGAGGAGGAAAUAGCAACCCACUCCAGUGUUCUUGCCUGGAGAAUUCCACAGACAGAGGAGCCUGGAAUCAGGAAGUCCAUUACAGUAGAGCCUGAGUAUGUGUCAAGAAAGAAUAAAUACACACCAUCAAUCACCCCAGUAGAGUCCAGUGUCUACCUUAGUCUUAUGGAAAUUUGGUGAAGAUGUGUGACUUUCCUAGAUUCUCA
ensembl:lncRNA